GCCUCUUUGGGGACAUCCGAUAAAAUUGGAACCAUACAGAGAAGAUUAGUAUACCCCCUGCGCAAUGAUGACACAAUUCGAGAAAUGGUCCAAAAUUUU